rnacentral:tRNA from 1 species
AGAGUAUACCUCAGUGGUAGUGUGCUUGCCUAGCAUGCAUGAGGUCCUGGGUUCAAUCCCCAGUACCUCCA